rnacentral:lncRNA from 1 species
AAUUCGGUAUGCUUCGGGUGUGGGAGAUAUACCGAUCGGAAUAGAUGAAAUUAGGACUUCGGUUUUCUAUUCGGUCGGUUCGGUUCGGGUAUUCCGAUCGGUUACCGACGAUUACCGAAAAUGAAACCUAAAUAUAAAAGCCAAAUUUUUUUUUACCCUAAUCUCAUUUCAUUUCUUUCACUUCCUCGAGCCUCACUCUCGAUUUGCGACUGGCGACGCCUCAAUCUCGUCUUCCU